AGCGUAGACGGAUGGACAAGUCUGAUGUGAAAGGCUGGGGCUCAACCCCGGGACUGCAUUGGAAACUGCCCGUCUUGAGUGCCGGAGAGGUAAGCGGAAUUCCUAGUGUAGCGGUGAAAUGCGUAGAUAUUAGGAGGAACACCAGUAGCGAAGGCGGCUUACUGGACGGUAACUGACGUUGAGGCUCGAAAGCGUGGGGAAGCAAACA
rnacentral:rRNA from 1 species